rnacentral:rRNA from 1 species
AGCAGCCGCGGUAAUUCCAGCUCCAAUAGCGUAUAUUAAAGUUGUUGCAGUUAAAAAGCUCGUAGUUGAAUUUCGGGGUCAGCAGGUUGGUCGUGCCAAUGGUAUGCACUGGCCUUGCUGAUUCCUCCUUCUUGAUGAGCCGUAAUGCCAUUAAUUUGGUGUUGCGGGGAAUCAGGACUGUUACUUUGAAAAAAUUAGAGUGUUUAAAGCAGGCAAGCGCUUGAAUACAUUAGCAUGGAAUAAUGAAAUAGGACGUUCGAUCCUAUUUUGUUGGUUUCUAGGAUUGACGUAAUGAUUAAUAGGGAUAGUUGGGGGCAUUAGUAUUCAAUUGUCGGAGGUGAAAUUCUUGGAUUUAUUGAAGACUAACUACUGCGAAAGCAUUUGCCAAGGAUGUUUUCAUUAAUCAAGAACGAAAGUUAGGGGAUCGAAGACGAUCAGAUACCGUCGUAGUCUUAACCAUAAACUAUGCCGACUAGGGAUCGGAUGAUGUUAAUUUUUAAUGACUCAUUC